AGAUAAAAUGCAAAAGAAAAAGCUAACCUCCUAGUAAACCAUUUCAUAUUCGUCGAGAGAGAUAAAAUAGUAUUCCUCUCUCUCUCUCUCUCUCUCUCACCUAGCUAGCUAAGAACGAAGAUGCAGCAAUCCAAUGAAUUCUCCAAUUUUCGAUAAUUCUUCAUCGCCAAUUCAAUUCUCCACAUACUCAACCAAUUGAAUUUCAAUCCAACAAGGAGAUUAGCUCCAUUUUCAAUUUCACCUAUUUCAUACGAGGAUUUGGCUUGAGGUUCAAUUUCAUUUGAAAUUGAUUCAGACAUCAGUUGAGAGCUUGGGCUUUUAGUCGUUGAGCUGUCUAACAAGGCUGACCUAGAAUUGGAAGCGAUCAGGCAAAGGAGAAUAAUGGCUCAACGUGGCACGGGAGGCUGAUUUUGACUUCGUAUAGUAGUAAGUAGAGUUGAAGAAAGGCUCAUAACGCUGCUCCAACAAUUCAAAGAAACUAGUGAGAAUCCCGUAGCCUCCGAGGAUUCUUCAGCUUCAAUUUCGGCUACCAAUAUUAGAACAAAGAAGCUCUUUGUCACCGCUUAAGGAUUCAAAGAUACCAAAGGUAGAAGCAUUUAAAGUUUCGGGAAAAAAGCUGCAAUAAUUUCCUCUUGAGACAGAUGGCACCUAGCAAGAAAUGGAUGAAUUUUGUGAAUGAUCGAUUGAAUGAAAAAUAUAAAGCUGGCGUGGUCGAAUUUUUGGACUAUGCUUUUU